UACACAUGUUGUUUAUUAGUCAUGCCUUCGCGAGAUAAGCCUGCAUCGGUUUACACAAGUCUUCCGGUAAUUUGAUAUUUGUGGGAUAAGAUAGAGCAAGUUUAUAAAUACUUUACACAAAGGGAUCCACAACAUGGGAAUUUUAGCGGAGUUGAAGAAUCAUGCAGACAUGACUAAACUUGAAAGUUUCAAUUACUGGAUUACCUGUUUUGGAUUUAUGAUAUUAGACUUAUGUCGCUAUCAUGUGAAAUAAAGAUGAUAAAAUACA